CAAAUAUUAUAUAAAAUCCUAUACGAGACUGUCAAUGUAACACUUGAGAAAAAAUAUAUAAAACAUUUUUUUAAAGGGACUAGCUUUAUAAACAUUCAAAAUUUAGAGAAAAGAGAACAAGCCAGUUACAUUAACAAGGAGCAUAAGUCCCUUGUUAGAGAAAGCAUAGUGAAUCAAUCAGAGUUAGUGUGCUGGCUAAUAUGUUGUCUUUUGAUUGGUUUCUCCAUUAUUGGCCUAUCAAGGUUCAUUUUAUGUGUGUUUCAACUUUCUACAGGUUAUUGGUUUGUCUUUUCAUCCACAGCACAGCUCAAAAUGAGCACAGCUUCCCCACAGAGUGAGUGCUAUGAGCAAUGUAGCAGUUCAUCUGCUUCAAGAUCUUCUUCCCACUACCAGCUCUACUGGGAGAAUGUUCAUUACAUCAUCAUAUAUCUGUCUGAAUUGGAAAAAACAUCUCUAAAUCCUACAUUUAAUUUUUUGGUCAAGUUGUGAAGAAUCACUACCCAAUGCAUAGAAUUACUUUAGCCAAACCGAAUUUUCUGUGAGGUUUUAAUAAUUAACAGUAACACUUCACUUCAUCUUUUAUGCUACUAAAGAUGGGGUUCACACGUUCAGAAGAGGGUAUGUGAAGUAGAGACUAAGUUGUGAUUUGGCUGCAAAUAAUAAGGAAAAGUCUCCGGUGAGUUAUUAAGGUUUCUUCCCUUGAAAAAGGUAGUAAUUUACAGAAACUGAUACAUUAUUAUUAAAACACAAUAAAAAUGGUGCACACAGUUAAAAUAUUUGAAGUCAUAUAUCAACCUAAAAUAGCUACUAUCUUUGCUAUCAAUUGGAUAAUAUUUAUAUUACAUAUUAACUGAAGUAAUCAGAAGGAAAUAAAACUGAAAAAAUAAGCCAGAUAGGAAAAAAUUAAUUUGAAAUAUGACAAUAUGUUUAAUAGUAUAAUUAAAAAGACUAACU
ensembl:lincRNA